rnacentral:lncRNA from 1 species
GUAUCUAUCCCCUAGCACGGAUUCAGGCCCCCUGGCCAGCAGCAGCCCACCCAUGACAUGGCCAGAGAAAUGGUGUGUUUCACCCCACCCCCCCCCCCCCCCCCAGCCCCUGCCUCCCCGCCACUGCCCCUCUGAGGACUGGGGAGCAGGAGGUUGCUGUGCUUUGGGGAGCCAGGUUCCCUUAUAGGAAACAACCUGCUCCUACCUGGUGGUUCAGCAAACUGGACUCCUUCCUCCCAAGGCUGGUCACCUUGUCCCCACGCCACCAACUGCUGCAACCUUUUCUGUGCCGAGCUGCCAAGGGGCAGGUGACAGUGUAUCUCCAGACAAAGGCUCAGAAGUGGUAAACAGCCAAAGCCUCGCUAUGCUGCGUGAGCCAGUGUGGCCGGGACAGCAGCUGCAUUCGAGAAGGCCUUCUGAGCAUUAUAACGAUGUUUUGGGAUCUAUAAAUGGAUCAUGGGUUCAGACCAUGACAAUAGUUGCUGAAUGAGUUCAGAUUCUCAUUUCCAACAGAACUGAUGGAAGGGUGAGGCCACCUUGAGAUGAGUUCCGUCCACUUUCCCAUCUGUGACUCACCCACAAAGCCUAGGGGUCUGUCACUGCUAAGCAGAGAAACCACCAGAUGGAAAAACAAUCUUGUAAACAGAUGACAAUGGGAGCUGGGGCUUUUGGACCAGGCAGGGGGUGGGGGGUGGGGGGUGGCUGUUUAUGCAUUUAGAGGUUCCUAUAGCUCCCUCAGCAUCUGCACUUAAAAGUGGAGAAGGGGAUUUGUGAGUGGGUGGUCUUUGCUGCUGGAGACUUUGGGGUGAGAAUUUAGGGGUGAUGGAGGUGAACUACCUAGCGAUUUUAAGACCUCAGGUAAGAAGAGCCUCAGGCAGACAGGAAACAUCCAGCCUGUGCUCCCCGCAAAUCAAGGGGGACCUGCAUCUCAAGCCUGCUUCUCAUCUGGAUGGCAAGGGGAUAUUCAAGCCCCCCCCCACCUCUCCUGGAGGUUCCUGUGUGAUGGCUUCAGGCCCCAGGGAUUGAAAGUGCAGUGGGGGUCACCCACGCGAAGUGAGGAACCUGUUCUUCAGAAGAGGAGCAGGAACUCCGGCAUUUCUCUGCCCUUAUCCAGUUUUAGUUCCAAAUGUUCUCAGGUUAGUGCCUCCAAUGCUGCUCUCGAUGAUAAAUCCCAUGGGAUUCAUGUGCAAAACUUAGUCCCGCACCCCCUGCUCCUCUGGGAGACUGGGGUACCUGGCAUCUGCCUGUUCAACAAGUGCUCCCAUGGGGACCAGGUGGCCUGACCCGCACUGGCCUUCUCUCCCAGGGUUAAAGCUGGGAACACCCUUCCAUGCCACACUCCACUGCCAGCUUCAACCUCCCAGCUCAGGAGAGUCUCAGCGAAGUGGGGAUGGAGGCAUAUCCUAAUACUUGGUCAAGGAUUAAGGGCCCAGACUGUCAAGGACACAGGCUGACACUGAACAGAAAUGGUGUCAUUGCAACUGCCUUUGUAGCAGCACCUGACUGGCUUGUGCAGGUGGCAGGAUUCCCACCUCUGGCACUACUGGAAUUCUGAGCUUGUAAUUAUCUGGUGGGGAGGGGGGAUGUUCCAUGCAUGAGAUAUUUUGCAGCAUGCUGAUCUUUGCCCACUAGACACCCCCGGCCCCCAAUUGGUACAACCAAUGAGUUCUCCAGAUGGCACCUCUGUCCUGCAUGAGGCACAGUUUUCUGGAGCCUCUGACCACUGAGCCGGGUUAACCUCAGCCUUCUCCUUUGAGGCUACUUAGAGCCAGUCCCUUGUGUAAGCAGCAAUAAUGUCACCCAGGGGCUAUCAGAAAUGCAAGUUUUCACAUCAGACCCAGCCUGACUGAAUCAGAAUAUCUGGCCACAGGACCCGGAGUUAGGUUUUCACAGUCCUCUGGGAUAUGCUUAUCCAUGCUAGGACUCAAGAAAUACUGUGCAUGCCAGCCACUUGUCAUGUAGCUACUGGAAUCUUUAAUUAACCGAACUAAAUUGACUAACACUACAACUUCCGUUCCUUGGCUGCUCCAGCCACAUUUCGAGUGCUCAAUAGCUGCUAAUACUGCAUAGGACCAUUCUAGAACAUUCUUAUCACUGUAGGAAGUUUGGCUGGACUGCACUGUUUUCUGCCACUCUGAAGUACUGCCAAAAUGUGGACGCCUCCAAGAAUCAUAAGACUGUCACUUUUGCUAUCAGCCAAGUUUUAUGGGAUGCGCACUGGCUACCUUAUGGUGGUGUGUAGCUAGAUAUAGAAGUGAUUGGGAGAAGCACAUUUCUUUCUUUAUACUUGCAAAUAGCAUAGAUUAAAGCCCUUACCUCCCCAGAGCCUAUUUAUGGAAACAGUCAAGGCAACAGGGCAGAGAAGCAUGACGUUUGGAACAAGGUGUGUAACAGGGAGCAGGCCUAAAUCUUAUGUUAAGAUGAUAUAUUAGGCAGGAAAAUAAAAGCGAUCCCAGGUUCACCUAUUAACUGCAGGGGUAACAAAGAGAUAGAGGCAUGUGGUGUGAGGUACCUUUCCAGGCUCUGGGAUUUUUGGUAGCAGUGCUUCUAUGAAGGGCCCCGGUAGAGCUGAUGAACUCAGAUGAGCACAAUGCCAAAGACCUCUGAGACCUCUUUGCAGGCUUCUCACUCUAUCAAAUCCAUGAACAGAGAGUGCGGCAGCUCCAGAGGAAAACAUGAUGAUCCUAAUGGUACCAAACUUCCAGGCAAGCCCCAGAAGGUAGGCCAUUGCAUGCCUGCUACUACGUCUCUGCCAUGCCAGCUGCAGACAUCACUAGUUAAUCUUUCUACUCUUUCCUUUGGAUCCUAGAGGCAGACAGUACUAAUCCAUCCAGGUUUACACUCAUGGGAGAAUACCAGUUCACUGUCUUUGUCUCUGAGGAACUCAUAUUCUCUUCCUGGCCUCUGUUUCUUUUUGGAAAGCUUGAACACACCUUUUCUGGACCAUGGGAUCCUGCACAGCCUUUUUCCUUUAGUGACGUAAGCAGUGUUCUUGGCUUCCUGAAGGUGGUCACUUAAUGCUUUCUGUCCUCACUCCCUUCUAUCAUCAAACCCUCUAUUUCAGCACAAAUGUAAUUUGCCCUCCAAAAGUAAGUUAUCAGGAGGCACAAGUCACCAUCAGAGGUACUUCUGGAUUGGGUUUGAGCUGCUUGAUUCCAAGUUGGGUUAUACCAAACCUGAAAUCAUCUAGAAUUUAUUCUCAAUAAAAAUAAAAUAAAAUGUAAGAAAGAUGCCUCCCCACCCCAGCCUACAGUGGUUGCAGCAAGACCUCCUUGGCAGUAACCCAGUCUUGGGUAAAACUGGCUAGAUGGGAGAAGCCUGAAGCCUCUGCCAGAAAGCCCAAGCUGUGUCGGGCUUUGCAGGCUUUGUCCCAGCCUUGAUCAGCUCCCUGAGGCAUGCUGGAUGAAGGCUUCACUGCACAAGAAAAUGUAAAAGGCACUGACCCCCUCAGCCUGCCUGGCAUCUGGCCAGCCCCCACCAGCCAGCUGCCAUCAGUCCUUACUGGGUUGGCAAGGUGACCACAAGCCGACCCCUUCCCCUGGUCACUUCUCUGGUCCUCCGUCCUGUGAAAAGCAUCCUCUUCUUGAUACUCCUAUUCCCCACACCCCAUGCUCCACUGUGUUUAAAUUACAGGUACUUGAGAGCAGAAGAGCAGCAAGUGAACUCCCAAGAGGCUCAUCUAUAGGGAUCCCAGGGUCCAUGGGCUGAGAAAAUGAUAUCAGGCCCCUCAUUCUACCUGUGGGAAUGGAGAAGAGGAGUAAUUAAAAAAGAGGUUCCCUAACCAGCAAUUUGUUUAUGGGAAAUCUUGGGGCCAGCCACGGACCUGGAGCUGCAGACUGGGCCCUGGAAAAUAUAGGCAAGAGAGACUGAACAGGUUGACCAGAAAACAGAGGGACAGUGUGUUUGGUGGAAGUGGGCCUCAGACCUGAAGGUGAGGGGUGGUCCUUGUUCUCUAAAAGAAAAUGACCAAGUGUCUAUGAAGAGGAGGGAUGUGUGUAGUAGUUGAUUUGGGUGAAAAAGUGAGUUAUCCACACAGUCUGUAGAUUAAACCAAGCCAAGCCAAUCCACAUGCCCUCAUUAGCUCUAUUUCUAAGACAUACAGACACAGUAUUAACUUCUAGCUCUGUACAUAUUUGUACAAUUAUUUGUAUAAUAUAUAUUUAUACACAGACAACAUAUCCCUAUUUAUAUAUAAAUUACCUAUAUACACAUACAUCUAUGCAUAUGAGUACAUAUAAUUUGUUAAUUUAUAUUUUGCAGUAACAAUAUUUGACUGUAAAAUAUUUGUUCAUAUAAAUAAGCUUAUGUACAAAUUACUAUGUGAUAAUCAAAAAGGCAUAGUCUUUGUAUUCAGAUAGUUCUCUUGAGUCCCAGUUCUGUCACUUAGAGAAGGUGUUCCCUUGGGUGGAUUAUUUAAUUGAGCCUUAAUUUUCUUUCUGAAAGUAGGAGUAAUGACACAUAUACAUUUCCUACAGAUGUUAUGAGGAAUAAGAUAACGGAUAUAAAACAUACAUGUAGGCGAUAAGUGGUAGAUAUAGCUAUUUAUGUUAUAGUAUCUCUGCUACUCUAACUGGGUGAAGGCUGGAUCUCUCAUUUUCUUGGGUGGGUUGUGGAUAUCAGGGCUGAGCAGGUGGUGACUCUAUUUGAGGCCUUCCAAACAAGUCCAUCAUUGUGUACCAUCUAAUAGGCUCUUAAGGGACUUCUUCUAAUUGGGUUGCUUCCAUGGUGAGAAUAAUUCAUUCCUAUGCUCUGCCUGGGCAAUUUAUUGGAGGAAUUCCUUGCUGAAAUAAUAAAACACCAGGGUGCAGGUGACAUCUUGUAGAACCCAGUUCAGGGAGGUGGGUGUCAAUGCCAGACAAAGGACACUUGCCUACAAAAGCCACCCCUGGAGGGGGUGAGCUCCCUGUCACAGAUGAGGCUUCAGUAGAGGCAGGGCAAGCCCACGUGGGAAUUCACAUGUCAGGUGUGGGUUGCACUAUAUAUUUUCUGGGGUCUCCUUGCAACUGGAAAGCCCCACAUCCUAUGGCUUCUGUUUGCAGUGUAUUCUGAAUGCGGUGUGCUGUGGUUUCUGGGUUACCUGCUCACCUUUCUUCCAUCCACCUCCCUCCCAGUGGCCUCUAUUCAUCAGUUACAAGGCCCUGAAGGAAUCCAAUAGUAAGGAGGUGAGAUUACAUUCUGAGGAAAUGGAUAAACUGAAAUGGGGCUGGGAUUGAACUGAACCGGGCAGCCAGCUUCAUUUAAUGGCCUGAGCAAAGUCUGAUUAGGGAAAGGCAACCAUCCAGAACAGCGGGAGGACAGCUUGCUGCAGGCGGACCAGAGGCCCUCUGCACUCUGGCAUGGCCUCACUGCCAGGCCAGCUCCCCUGGCGAUCAAAGGACACGGGCUGGUGCCAUUCAGCCUCUGCAUAUCAGGUUCUCCGGGAGCUUCCUUCCAGAUUAAUUUCUUCCCUCAGCUCACUAAGUGUACCCACUCCAGGCCUGUGCUGACGUGGCCAGCUCCCCAGGGGAGAUGGGAGAGCAUGGUACAGCAGGCCUGGGAACAGAACAAAGCACUCACUGGGCGUCGAGAUUAGAGCCCAGAGUGGUGAUGGGACAUCAGGAAAAUGAUGUGCAAUGUGCAUUAGGAACAUCCCAGAGACCACCUCGCCACCUGCCAGGACGGGCGGUGAGCAAACAAGGAGAGGGAGAUGGCAUGGCUGCAGUGGUGGACGUACAUCUGUGGUUGCUAGGAUGCCAGUCAUUUGUAGCAACAUGGAUGGACCUAGAGAUUACCAUUCUGAGUGAAGUAAGCCAGAGAGAGGCAAAUACCAUAUGAUAUCACUUAUAUGUAGAGUCUAAUUAAAAACGAUACAAAAGAACUUAUUUCUAAAAUAGAAACUCAUAGAUUUGGAAAGCAAAUUUAUAGUUACCAAAGGGGAAAUAUGGAGGGGAGGGAUAAAUUAGGAGGAUGCAGUUAACAUAUACACACUACUGUAUCUAAAAUAGAUAAACAACAAAGACCUACCAUACAGCACAGGGAACUCUACUCAAUAUUCUGUAAUAACCUAUAUGAGAAGAAAAGAGUGGAUGUAUGUAUGUAACUGAUUCAUUUUGCUGUACAGCUGCAACUAAGACUAUAUUGUAAGUCAACUAUGUGCCAAUAAAAUAAAAAAA